rnacentral:rRNA from 1 species
UACGUAGGCAGCGAGCGUUGUUCGGAAUUACUGGGCGUAAAGGGCGCGUAGGCGGAUCGUUAAGUCAGAGGUGAAAGCCCAGGGCUCAACCCUGGAAUUGCCUUUGAUACUGGCGAUCUUGAGUACGGGAGAGGUGUGUGGAACUCCGAGUGUAGAGGUGAAAUUCGUAGAUAUUCGGAAGAACACCAGUGGCGAAGGCGACACACUGGCCCGUUACUGACGCUGAGGCGCGAAAGCGUGGGGAGCAAACAGG